CAGAUUUGAAACCUCCUUGACAUUGUCACUUCCUGGGUAAUUAAGAGCUUCUACAGUUCCAUGUCACUGGCAGAGCCUAAACAUAUUAAAAAAAGAUCCCUAUUCUCCUGCCUCAGUCAAGAUCUCGUCAGUGAAAAAGGGAAAUAAAGGCAGUUUGUUCAGGGAGUCCGUGAAAGGGAAGAUGAAAGAGGAAACCUACAUUUUUCAGCACAGUCUGUUUCUGACAUGGGAAAAUAGCACAG